rnacentral:misc_RNA from 1 species
AAAUUAUGCAAACACAAAAUUCAAUUGUAAAUGAUUUUUUUCCAAACUAAUCCAACUUGAAAUAUGUGUGUUUUGGUUGCUGGGGCGCAAUAAUCAUAGACAUCAUUGAAAAUGUUGUGAUUUGUAAUCGACCAAUAUCAUCCAUAGAACCUGUCUUAUCAAACAAAGUAUUCAAUUUCAUCAAU